rnacentral:rRNA from 1 species
GACGAACGCUGGCGGCGUGCUUAACACAUGCAAGUCGAACGGAAAGGCCCUGCUUUUGUGGGGUGCUCGAGUGGCGAACGGGUGAGUAACACGUGAGUAACCUGCCCUUGACUUUGGGAUAACUUCAGGAAACUGGGGCUAAUACCGGAUAGGAGCUCCUGCUGCAGGGUGGGGGUUGGAAAGUUUCGGCGGUUGGGGAUGGACUCGCGGCUUAUCAGCUUGUUGGUGGGGUAGUGGCUUACCAAGGCUUUGACGGGUAGCCGGCCUGAGAGGGUGACCGGCCACAUUGGGACUGAGAUACGGCCGCGACUCCUACGGGAGGAAGCAGUGGGGAAGAUUGCACAAUGGGCGGCAGCCUGAUGCAGCAACGCCGCGUGCUGGAUGACGGCCUUCGGGUUGUAAACCGCUUUCGCCUGUGACGAAGCGUGAGUGAAGGUAAUGGGUAAAGAAGCACCGGCUAACUACGUG